rnacentral:tRNA from 1 species
GGUAGCGUGGCCGAGUUGGUCUAAGGCGUUGGAUUUAAGAACCAUCUGAAUCCCAAUGGGCGAAAGUCCGCGCGAGUUCGAACCUCGCCGCUACCA